rnacentral:rRNA from 1 species
UACGGAGGGUGCGAGCGUUGUCCGGAAUCAUUGGGCGUAAAGGGCGCGUAGGUGGCCUGCUAAGCGUGCGGUGAAAGUCGGGGCUCAACCCCCGAUCGGCCGUGCGAACUGGGAGGCUUGAGCACUGUAGAGGCAGGCGGAAUUCCGGGUGUAGCGGUGGAAUGCGUAGAGAUCCGGAAGAACACCGGUGGCGAAGGCGGCCUGCUGGCAGUUUGCUGACACUGAGGCGCGACAGCGUGGGAGCAACAGG